AGCGAACGCUGGCGGCAGGCCUAACACAUGCAAGUCGAACGAACCUUUCGGGGUUAGUGGCGGACGGGUGAGUAACACGUGGGAACGUGCCUUUAGGUUCGGAAUAACUCAGGGAAACUUGUGCUAAUACCGAAUGUGCCCUUCGGGGGAAAGAUUAAUCGCCUUUAGAGCGGCCCGCGUCUGAUUAGCUAGUUGGUUGAGGUAAUGGCUCACCAAGGCGGCGAUCAGUAGCUGGUCUGAGAGGAUGAUCAGCCACAUUGGGACUGAGACACGGCCCAAACUCCUACGGGAGGCAGCAGUGGGGAAUCUUGCGCAAUGGGCGAAAGCCUGACGCAGCCAUGCCGCGUGAAUGAUGAAGGUCUUAGGAAUGUAAAAUUCUUUCACCGGGGACGAUAAUAACGGUACCCGGAGAAGAAGCCCCGGCAAACUUCGU
rnacentral:rRNA from 1 species